GCUUGUUGUUUGAUAAUUUUGGAGAGCCAAAUGCCACAGAGCCUCCUCCAGCUUCCAAAUCCAACAGAAAGAGUCAUAGAAAUAAAAUCAUAUUGGUGGCUGUUCUGGGUAGCGUUGGAUUACUUGCACUUGUCUUUAUCUGUAUAUUGCUGCUGAUUUUUUGCACCCGCAAACGGGGUGCCACGAAUCAAAGAGCCACUGAGGUUGGGCCUGGUCCUGCCAGUUCAAGUCCACCACCUCCUGCACCUGGAGUAUCAUUGAAUUUUUCAAGUUUAGGAGAUGCAUUUACCUACCAGCAGAUUCUUCAAGCCACAGGUGAGUUCAAUGAUGCAAAUCUUAUGAAGCAUGGUCAUUCAGGUGAUCUCUUCCGUGGUAACCUAGAAGGCGGGACACUUAUAGUUGUCAAAAGAAUAGAUGUGCAGUCUGCAAGGAAUGAAGCAUACUUGUCAGAAUUGGACUUUUUCAGCAAGGU
rnacentral:misc_RNA from 1 species